rnacentral:tRNA from 2 species
AGGGCCUUAGCUUAAUUAAAGUGCCUGGUUUGCAGCCAGGAGAUGCGAGUUAAUUUCUUGUAGGUCUUA